AACGCACAUUGCGCCCCCUGGCAUUCCGGGGGGCAUGCCUGUCCGAGCGUCAUUUCUGCCCUCAAGCCCGGCUUGUGUGUUGGGUCUUGUCCCCCACGGGGGACAUGCCCGAAAGGCAGUGGCGGCGUCGCGUCCGGGUCCUCGAGCAUAUGGGGCUUUGUCACACGCUCGGGAUGGACUUGCGGGACGCCUGCCCUCUCUCCCUCCCCCUUCCGGGGAGUGACCUUCCACAGUUGACCUCGGAUCAGGUAGGGAUACCCGCUGAACUUAA
rnacentral:misc_RNA from 1 species